CAUGUACUCCCUCCGUCUGAAAAUACUUGUCAUCAAAAUAAAUAAAAGGGGGCGUAUCUAGAUGUAUUUUAGUUCUAGAUACAUCCCUUUUUAUCCAUUUUGAUGACAAGUAUUUCCGGACGGAGGGAGUAUAUG
rfam:Triticum aestivum genome assembly, contig: Triticum_aestivum_CS42_TGACv1_scaffold_320874_4BL